GAUGAACGCUGGCGGCGUGCCUAAUACAUGCAAGUCGAGCGAAUGGAUUAAGAGCUUGCUCUUAUGAAGUUAGCGGCGGACGGGUGAGUAACACGUGGGUAACCUGCCCAUAAGACUGGGAUAACUCCGGGAAACCGGGGCUAAUACCGGAUAACAUUUUGAACCGCAUGGUUCGAAAUUGAAAGGCGGCUUCGGCUGUCACUUAUGGAUGGACCCGCGUCGCAUUAGCUAGUUGGUGAGGUAACGGCUCACCAAGGCAACGAUGCGUAGCCGACCUGGGAGGGUGAUCGGCAACACGGGGACUGAGACACGGCCCAGACUCCUACGGGAGGCAGCAGUAGGGAAUCUUCCGCAAUGGACGAAAGUCUGACGGAGCAACGCCGAGUGAGUGAUGAAGGCUUUCGGGUCGUAAAACUCUGUUGUUAGGGAAGAACAAGUGCUAGUUGAAUAAGCUGGCACCUCGACGGUACCUAACCAGAAAGCCACGGCUAACUACGUGCCAGCCGCCGCCGUAA
rnacentral:rRNA from 1 species